GACGAACGCUGGCGGCGUGCCUAAUACAUGCAAGUUGAGCGCUGACGGUUUGUACUUGUGCCCACUGGAUGAGCAGCGAACGGGUGAGUAACGCGUGGGUAAUCUUCCUCUUAGCGGGGGACAACAUUUGGAAACGAAUGCUAAUACCGCAUAAAACCUUUAAACACAGGUUUUAAGUUUGAAAGAUGCAAUUGCAUCACUCAAAGAUGAUCCCGCGUUUUAUUAGCUAGUUGGUGAGGUAAAGGCCCACCAAAGCGAGGAUACAUAGCCUACCUGAGAGGGUGAACCGCCAAAAUGGGAACGGGACAACGCCCAAGACUCCAAGGGAGGGAGCAGUAGGGAAUCUUUGGCAAAGGGGGGAAGUCUGAACGAGCACCGACGGGUGAGUGAAGAAGGGCUUCGGAUCGGAAAAGCCUGUUUGUAGAGAAGAAAGUGGGUGAGGGUGGAAAGCUCAUCAAGUGACGGUAACUAACGAGAAAGCAACGGCUAACUACGUG
rnacentral:rRNA from 1 species